CUGACGACUGUCAAGAGCAGCUAGAAGGAUGGGCCUUCUGAAGCUACGUCUAAAAUGCUCGUUAUUGAAACUAAACUAACAAUUUUCUCUUCUUCUAGUUGGGUUCUUGAUUCUGGUUCAAGUGUUUAUUUGUGCAUUUCAAUGCAGGAUCUUGAAGAAGUUAGGAGGCUGAGAGAAGGUGAGAUCACUCUUCGAGUCGAUA
rnacentral:lncRNA from 1 species